UCUCGAUGGGCGUGUACCUUCCAAUCUCGUCUGACUGCAUCAGAAUGCAAUUUCAGUUUUCUCGCGUGAUGCAGCUAAAUUGUCUGCUCACUUGUGUUCAUACAGAGAACUGGAGAGGGCUUCAAGUCAUUCUCUAUGUAUUCAACUAGAGGUGGUCAAAGCCACAGAAAAAGAGCAACCGGUACGUGUGGCAGUCUAAUGAAAAUGUGUUGGUUAGCUGUAGCCUUUGUUCUGCUCUUCCACGUCAAUGGCGGGUGGUGUUGUCCCCGCCAUGAAAGAGACUCCCUUUUGCGUUUCAAGGCAUCUGUUCUUGAUCCAUCUCAUCAACUACUCAAGUCAUGGCAUGGUUUCAACUGUUGUGAGUGGAAUGGAAUCCAAUGCCAUCCUCACACACAUCAUGUCAUUCGUCUCGAUCUCCACACUUCCAGGCAUGCUUAUGAAGAUGGUGAUCAUCCUAAUGUCAAAAGGCCUCUGAGUAAUCUAACUGGGGAUGUUCUUUCCCCAUUGUUCAAUCUGGAACAGUUGGAGCACUUGGAUGUCAGUUGGAAUAACUUUUCUGCAGUUCCCAUCCCUCCUGGAUUGGCCAGACUCAAGAGUUUGCGCUACUCGGACUUAUCAUACGCUGGGUUUAGUGGAGAUAUUCCCAGGGAGCUGGGGAACAUGUCUACUUUGCACUACUUGGAUCUCUCUUACAAUGAUCUGAGGAUGGUGGACGUGCGGGCGUGGACGGGAAAUAUGAGAGAUUUACGGGAGCUCAUCCUGGACAAUGUGAACAUGUCAAGAGUGGAAAGCAAUGAGUUGGACAACGCUCUCUCCACCAUGUAUUCUCUCACCAGUCUUCGAAUGAUCUGGUGUCGGCUUUCUGGAGAAUUUCCCCCUUCCCUUGCCAACCUCACCAAUCUCACCCACCUCCAACUUAAUGAAAACGGAUUCAAUGGUAGCAUCCCUUCUGCCCUGCUGAGCCUUCCAAAGCUGCAACUACUGGACUUGUCCUGGAACAAGGAUCUGGGAGGGAACCUGUCAAGCAUUCUACCCCAGCAUCCCUUCACACCCUCGACCUUUCAGGCACAGCAGUGGGAGGAACCAUUCCAGACUCUGUUGCCAACAUUUCCUCGUUAACUGUCUUGUAUCUUGCAGGCUGCCGUGUUGAAAGUAUACCAAUUACUAUGGCAAAUCUCACAGCGCUUAGAGAAUUGGAUCUCGGUAAUAACAUGUUAAGAGGCCACAUCCCGCCGUUUGGGGAUAGACCUCAGUUGGGAAGACCUUAUCCUUUGGCCUAUAUUGAUCUAUCCCAAAACCAGUUGGAUGGUCCCAUUCCCCCAACGCUGUUGGCUGCAUUUCCGAAUCUCCAAUAUGUUGAUUUGAGUUACAAUCAAUUGAGUGACAGUAUUCCGUCCCCCGCCAGUACGCUUCACUACCUUGCAUGGCUUCAUCUGAGUUGCAAUGCAUUGACGGGUAAAAUCCCUUCAUUGGCUAAACUCCCGUCCCUUGUCCAACUUGGCCUGAGUGAUAACCAUUUGAGUGACAAAAUACCCCUUUCCAUUGGCCUACUCUCAUCUCUCGAAUUGCUUGAUCUAAGCAACAACAAUUUAGAAGGUGCCAUCCCUCUCGACAUUUCCAAUCUUCCUAAACUGAACAGCCUGUACCUGUACUCCAACCGGUUAAGUGGGACUUUUUCAGAGUCUUACCUUGAUAAUCUCAGCCAACUUGUCUAUUUAGACAUUUCCGAUAAUCUUUUAACUGCCAAGUUCAGUCCAACAUGGAUUCCAAGAUUCUCUUUGGAAAAGCUGGGAUUAAGGUCAUGUAACGUGGAAGGCGGUAUUCCAACAUUCCUAAUAACUCAAUAUUGGGUUCAAGAUGUGGAUUUGUCCAACUGCAGCCUUACAGGAAAUAUUCCCCAGUGGAUAUGGGGUGUCAAUUCUCUUCAGAAUCUCAAUCUUUCUCAUAAUCACUUUGCAGGAGUUCUACCUCAUUCGUUGAUGGGAAGUCGAUUGGGAAUUCUGGAUUUGCAUAGCAAUAAUUUACAAGGUGGUAUAGUCAAGAAUUUGUAUGGAUAAUAAGGAAUGCAAAAUCAUUGGGAAAUAUGAAAGGUGAAGUGCCCUGUCAGCAUUAAAAUUUUUAUCAUGUCAUUACAAGGUAGAAAUUAUAAACAAAUUUUAGCUUUCAUCUAAAUGUUAAUAAUGUAUCAAUUUUUUAAAAAAUAUAAAAAAUUGACAUCUUG